UAUACCCAGUGGCGGACGGGUGAGUAACGCGUGGGCAACCUGCCCCGUGCCGGGGGAUACCGCCUGGAAACAGGCGCUAAUACCGCAUAAGCGCAUACAGCCGCAUGGGUGUAUGCGGAAAGCUCCGGCGGCACGGGAUGGGCCCGCGCCCGAUUAGCCAGUUGGCGGGGUAACGGCCCACCAAAGCGACGAUCGGUAGCCGGCCUGAGAGGGCGGACGGCCACAUUGGGACUGAGACACGGCCCAAACUCCUACGGAAGGCAGCAG
rnacentral:rRNA from 1 species